rnacentral:rRNA from 1 species
UACGUAGGGGGCAAGCGUUGUCCGGAUUUAUUGGGCGUAAAGAGCGUGUAGGCGGCUUUGCAAGUCCGUUGUGAAAACUCGAGGCUCAACCUCGAGACGCCGGUGGAAACUGCAAAGCUAGAGUCCGGAAGAGGAGAGUGGAAUUCCUGGUGGUAGCGGUGAAAUGCGCAGAUAUCAGGAGGAACACCGGUGGCGAAAGGC